GUAAACCGAGGGAAGGUAGCUCAGGGAGGGAGGUCAAGUCGGCAGUCUAUUUGUGGCAUAGCAGCCGCACACACCUUGUUGGAUUGAAACCUGUGGAUUUAUUUCCUGUGAGCGCCAGAGACUGGUUGUACCCCAGCAGGCCCCUCUUCAGGUCCAGCGGGUUCUCUGAACACAGCGAGGAGGCUUCACCUGCGCCCCGAAGACCUGGAGACAGUGCCGUUGUCUGAGGAAAUCUGUUUGCGAAUACCCACGUAUGUCCGAUUCCCAGUGGAUUUAAAUUUCUGCAUAGCAUUUAACACUAACAACAUUACUGUGCGAGGUGAUCUGACAAACUUUAUAAAUCCAUUGGGUUAGUGGCGGCCCUUCGACCACAGCCGCCAGGAGGGAGGCUUGCAGUUCCUGGCGUGAUUCAUGAGGACGAUAUGUACCCUCACCCUUAAGCUUUCUGGACUAAACACUUCUGUAAGCACGGUGGUGGCCAGAAGUGAUGUGCCCCCCUGUAUUGUGAGACACAAAGGGAAACGUUCAGUGAGGUCACAGCUGGGUUAUUGAUAGGACCACAGCACCCCCUGAUCCAGUGCUUCAGACCUCACUGGGAGUAAUGAUCGUUUCGGCAGGUGUUUACCACCUCCUCUCUUUUGAAAGUAGAAAAAAAAAAAAAAAUGCAUAGAAUUAUUUGUUUUGAGCCGCGGAAUUUCCGUACACACUGGCAAUUCUAUCUGUUGUCAUUGGCCUGUUCCUGUGUGUCCGUCACAACUGUGUCUUCUUCUUUUAUACCACUUUUUUUUUAUUAUUUCUUUAUUUAUUUUAUUUUAUUUUAUUUUAUUUUAUUUUUAUUUUAUUUAUUUUUCUUUUGAGAGCAAGGAAAGGAAUAAUAUUGAACAUAGAUGAAUGUAAUCAUAUGACUUAAUGAUAGCCGACUGUAAGAUGGAUGGAGAAUGAUGAUCAUAUUGGUUAUCAAGUUUAUUAUUUGAUAAUGUGCUAAUCUUCACUCCUGUUUAAUUAUAGUACAUAUCAACUCCAUGCAUUUCUAUAAAGGCUUCAUUUAUACAUUAUCUUUGUGUGUGUGUGUGUGUGUGUGUGUGUGUGUGUGUGUGUGUGUGUGUGACUGUCAGACGUGUGAGGAGAGGUGUUUAUGUGAAGAAUGUUUAGGAGAGGGGAAAGAAGGUCAAUUAAUCAUGUGAGAGGCACCAUCCACAGGUCACUUGAUCCACCAAAGAUGUAAUUAGGGUUUCGUAAAUAUCACCAGUGGAAGAUUAAUUUAUCAUUAGACACAUUGGUGCAAGAAGAGAUAUCAUUGAGUCUGAAGGAAUGAAUGCAUCGACUCACCAGCUGCGUUGUAUCAAGAGCUCCGCUGUGACCACCCACAACUCGGGAUAGGCGGAGUUCAUUUUCUGACAGUAAUUUUUGUCCGAAUAUUUGUACAGUGUGACGUAACUACGUAUACAUAUAGUGCAUAAUGUAUGGACUAGUUUAGUGGCUGUUAGCAAUGUCAAGUACAAACAACAAUUGAAUCACUUAGCGCUUUGGGGUCGUUAACAAGAUUUGACAUUCUCGAAUCCCGGUGCCUUUUCUCAUCAUAUGUGUCAGGGAAGCUUUGAAUACUCUUAUUGUUAACGAUCACUGUUUCCAAAGAUCUUGUCACACUAGAGAGCUGCUGUAGACUUCUUGCGCAAGAUAUUUUAUAAAACAUGAAAGUAUAAUUACAAAUACAAUGCAGUGCUUAAACUUAAAUUUGAACAGUAUGUGCAUUUCCUAUGACACAAAACAAAUGCCUUAAUUAGAUGUCAAUGAAAGAAAAAUUAACCAUAACAGUUCAUGUGUUUUCUGCGGAUAAAAGAAAAACCCAUACUACAGAUGACACAGUGACACCAACAUAGCAACAGUAUACAGUGGGCAUGAGACUUGUUAAACUUGUGUCAUUCCUCUCUGCCUCAAGUACACAGCACCAUUGACCUUGAACCAUGAGAAGGUGAGCCAUCUUGCUGCCCUGAUGUCUCUUGUGCUUUCGGGCAAGUUACGAUUCUUCUAGUGCAUCGUGAGGACCCAGACAACUCCCUCUAACUCCCUACAAGCAGCCGGUGACGAUGAGAGGACGCCGAUGAAGACAAACUGCUGGAUUAGAGUGCUUAGAGUGGAGGGAAAAAACGUUCAUUGAAGACCUGAAAAGUUCCACUGCAGGGACGCUAGUGUUGGGAAGUCUCCCUGCUCCUGUGUAGGGUUGUGCUAGCUGCUGGCUUUUGUAUAUUUGUGUACACUUUAGGCACGUAAGCCUGAAAUUCUUACGACUCUCCGUUUUGCUCAUAUUUCGAAAAUUUCUUAAAUAAAUUUUAUAAUUUUCGGAACAAA